rnacentral:rRNA from 1 species
GGGGUAAACGGGAGAAAUCCUGAAUUCGAAARGGGACSGGAUUCAAGGCCUACCGUGUGUAAGCAGGACGUCCCCGCCAGAUGGCGCUGGUCGCCCGCGGCGAUUCAUUUCGCUUGCGGUGUCGUUCCCGGCGAUCACUCGGUGUGGUGCCGUUGCCCUGUCACCGGAGGUGUGCACUUCCACCCUAGUAGAAACGUCGCGACCCGUUGGGUGCCGGUCAAAGGCCCGAGAUGGCAGCCCGUGUGUCCUGUGGGGGAACCCACAGGCGCGUGGACUCUUGGUGACCCGGCCGGCUGCCCGACGGUAUGACCAGAGGAGUCGAUCCGCUGAAAGUGAAACACUGUGGUUGUGUAGCGUCCGGCCCGGCGCCGGCGCGUGUGGGGAUUGAGGUGUAAACCGGGGGUGCCCGUGCGAAGCACGGCCCCGGCCCCACUGCGUGUUCGGAUUGUUCGGUGUCCUCGGACUGGAUCAGCACUCCCGUCUGCGACGAUCACCUUCGGAUGGUCUCCCGACCCGUCUUGAAACACGGACCAAGGAGUCUAACAUGUGCGCGAGUCAUUGGGUUGCACUAAACCUAAAGGCGCAAUGAAAGUGAAGGCUGCUUUUGUGUGGGCGGCCGAGGGAAGAUGGUACUGGGUUCACCGGGGCCCUCGCGGUCCCGGGCCCGGCCCGCAUUCCCGGGGCGUCUCGUCCUCACUGCGAGGGGAGGCGCACCUAGAGCGUACACGUUGGGACCCGAAAGAUGGUGAACUAUGCCUGGCCAGGACGAAGUCAGGGGAAACCCUGAUGGAGGUCCGUAGCGAUUCUGACGUGCAAAUCGAUCGUCGGAGCUGGGUAUAGGGGCGAAAGACUAAUCGAACCAUCUAGUAGCUGGUUCCCUCCGAAGUUUCCCUCAGGAUAGCUGUCACUCGGAGGAAAAUGAAAUGAGUCUCAUACGGUAAAGCGAAUGAUUAGAGGCCUUGGGGCCGAAACGACCUCAACCUAUUCUCAAACUUUAAAUGGGUGAGACCUCCGGCUUGCUUGGGAACUGAAGCCGGAGACGGAUCACGAGUGCCAAGUGGGCCACUUUUGGUAAG